rnacentral:lncRNA from 10 species
GUGCGCGCUGCGCUCUGGCGGGAGGGCGCUUCUCUCGGCUUUUUAUAGCUUCAUGGCGGACCACGUUGAGAACAACAACAGCCUGGUCCGGGGCCAGCGCCAACUUGUGCUUCUUGGAGCCCCUUCUCCGGCCGCUGGCUUCUCGGACCGCGCCUCUCCAGCGCCGCCGCGCCCGCAGCGGGGCGCCCCGGACAGGGCCUGAGCUCCCGGCGCAGUGGAGAGGCGACUUGCGUCCUGGAAGGGCUCAGCAAAGGCGAACGGAGAGGUGCACCCUAGGCUGCGGGAGCGCGAGAGGAGGGGGGCACCUCGUUUGGAGGCCAAUAGCGCGGGCCCCAGAGGAGGCCCCACGGCCGGGAGCUUGGCGGCCGGCAACCCAGAGAACGCCACGGGCACCCGAGCCUUGUCCCGGCCCGGGGGGCUCCAGGCCUGCCCGCAAGAGGAGCUUUAAUUUGUCCAAACUAACACAGGGCGCGCCCUCACGUGGUCGGCUGGGGCAACGUGAACUGCGCUAGGACAUCCUCGGGGGUUUUCCGCCCCAUCCAAAGGGGAUGGCGGAUGGGAGGCACUCUCCAGCUGCACCCCGGGUUCUGGUUGUGCCUCUGGGAGCCUAGGCACAACCCGGGGAAUGGAGGACUACGGCAGGACCUCUCUAGGGACACUGCCUCGCCGCUCCCCCCACCCUGUUGCCGCUGAUGUUCCCAGGGCCUCAUUUUGUAAUCCACAAGUAGCUGCCGCCGGUCCCCCCAAAGCCAAAUGGGGGCUCCAGGGUGGGACAGGGUGGGCGGGGGUGAGGCUGUGACACCCAGAGGAAUUCCUGUGAGAGGAUGGGGAAGGGAUUCGCUCUUAGUUCCUGGGUGCACCCCUCCCCCUCUCCCGUGCACAGGGAAAUGAUGGCGGGAACACAGCAAAGGAGACCAUGUCCUGGAGAGGGUCCCGGGCCCCACCCUCCCCGGGGGGGCUUGUGCAAGGCUGGCGGCCCGAUCUCUGCUGAUUCCAGUAUUGGGGGUGCAGAGAAGGCACAGGACAGUUUUUGUUGAAGCCGUUGCAGCCUCCACUUGGGGAAGCUGAGGCCAGGGGCACAGGACAACGUUGAGGGCCUGAGGCCUCCACCUUCUUGAAGAAGGACCAUGUGAAUUUCCUGACAGAGAACGGGGAUGGGUUUCUGAAAGCACCACCCAGCUGAGCCUGCCGAAACUGCACAGCUGUUUCCAGGCCAGGCUGGCUGCAUGGAGGACGUGAGAGGAACAGCCAGCUGUGUGUGCUGGGCCCACUGAUCAGGGUGCUCAGGACCAGGAGCCUUCUGAGGAUGUGCAGAGGGGACUCUGGGGAGAGGAACAUGGUGGCCACAGCUGGAGUGACCGCAGUGUACAGAGAUGGGAUGGGAGCAGGAAACCCAAAAGAGCCGGCCCUGGAACCAGGUGGAGGGGAGGCAGCCCGGCCAUGACCCAGAGCAGGACACCUGCUCCACUUCACCUUUUGCCAUGAGUAAAAGCUCCCUGAGGCCUCCCAAGAAGUUGAUGCCCUGUGCUUCCUGUACAGCUGCGGAACCGGAUGGCUUUCCGUGGCUUUGCUACAGCCACUCCUGGAAGUGCUGCCUGACUGAAUCCUCAGGGCACCCCGGCAGGAUGGACGUGGUGUACCCCCUACUUUACAGAUGGGGAAACUGAGGCUUGAGAGCUAAAGCAGCCCACCCAGCUCCCAGAGAUGAGGAGGCCGACUCUGGCAGGAGUCACUGUCGGUGCAUGGGCAUUUCUUCCUGUUACAGCCUGCGGCCCCUUCCAGGCCGGGAGGCCUUCUGCGCAGGGGCACCCUCCCUGCAUGGCCCGAUGACCUGCACUCCUGUUUCAUCUCCCCGUGUGGCACCUGGGGCAGCUUGGAGCCUACCAAGGUCUCAACAAGGAACCAGUAAAUACCAAAAAAAGGACAUCACGUCCCCUACAGCUAACUGCAAAUGGUGACCAUCCCAGCCCUUGUUUGAUAACACAAGCAAAGCAAUGGCUUCUUCAAGGACACCGAGAGGAACCUCACCUCUUUCUAAAACCUCCAACACAGGGCCAGGCGCGGUGGCUCAUGCGUGUAAUCCCAGCACUUUGGGAGGCCGAGGCAGGUGGAUCACGAGGUCAGGAGAUCGAGACCAUCCUGGCUAACACGGUGAAACCCCGUCUCUACUAAAAAUAAAAAAAAUUAGCCGGG